rnacentral:lncRNA from 1 species
UAGAAUUGUAAAUAUAUAAAAUCAACUACAAAAUAUAAAUAUCAAGGUAAUUAAUUUAUGACUUGACUUAUAAUUCAAUUUAGUGCUUUUAUGGUAUAGAGAAAAGAAGGUGUGUUGGAAGAUAUUUGGGGGUUAAACCCUUUUAAUGAUUUAGUAGAGAAAUGAUUGCAAAACCAAAAAGCAAAGUAGGUAGAAGGCAUUUGUUGUAAAAUUAAUGAUGGACAAAAAAGAAAUAAAUUAGAGAAGAUGACAUGUUUGAUGAUGUUGAGGGAGGGAAGCGUCCAAUAAUUCACCAACUCAAUCUCAACCGCCAAACACCCUCAUCUCUAAUGUCAUUUCAUUCUGCAGCUCAUCUAUUACUCUAGGCAAUCAAAACAUUCCACCCAUAUGUAUUACAUGAAAUUAAUGUAUUGGCCUACUGUUUCUGUGUGUCCCUGAUUGAGCCACAUACCUUCUUUAAGACUUUUAGUGGUCCAAAAUGAUCCAUCACCUCUCUUGCUCACCAUGCAAAUUUCGAAAGGUCCUAAUUCCCGAUUAUACAUGUCUUAAUAAUAUCAUAUCUAGAGGAUAAUUACAUAAAUUAAAUAAUAUCAUAUUCAUUUUUAUGAGAUAACUUUCCGAUCCAACCCCUUUGACUCCAUCUUCUUGCCCUCUUGAAUGGAUACCCAGUUUUAUUGAUUGAGGUGUUAUGUGACAAAUGAGCCCCAUGAAUGUAUAUUCAUGGCUGACAAUUCUGUUGGAUGAGUUAAUGCUGGUUUAAAGAGUUAGUGGACUAUAUUUUGUAAAGAUAUUAGUUUUCAGCCAAUCGGAAAAUUAAUAUUUAUACAUGUCUUAAAUAAUUUAAAGAUCAUAUUAAAGUAAUAAAUUAGUUGAGUCUAUUAAUCUGUUGAGUUGGUUAAUUAUUUUUGUUAAGUCAAUUGAUUCACUUACAAUUACUGUUAGCAGUAUUCAUUAACAUGUAUAUAAACUCUAAUCGUCUAUGUGCAUAAUAAGAGUUUUAUCAAUAGCUUUUCUGAUUCUCUAUAAAGUAUUGCUUUCUUACUUUCAGUUGCUUUAUCAGUUUUAUAUCUUUUAGCUAUAGUUAAACACAUUCUCUGUUCUAUUUCUCUUCUUUUGAAAAUUUUGAUUUCCGUGCUUAACAAAAUACAUUUCUUUUCUCUUUAGUGCUAAAAUUUUUAUUCAUUUUCUAUUAUAACGAUUCAUCAGUAAAAAGUAGUGUUAAUUUUUUUUAUAUAUUCUUAAUAUUUUUGCUUUUAGGCUUUAUUUGUUUAUAUUUUCCAACGACGGUCUUUAAAUGUGGUCAGACUAUAUUACAUCUUUUCAAUUCUAAUGCUUAGUAUGUUCUCAGUUAUAUGAUUUAGUCUAAUUUUUAUUUCUGAUUUGCAAUAGCUACGGUGAAAUCGGAUUGUGAUAUUAAGGGAUGAGAUAAAAAUUAGCUCAACUUUCCUGCCUUAUAAAGACAAAAGGGCAGCUUUCAAGAUGUACAACUAUUUGGCUGAGCAUCAUGACGAUCACAUAUUGAGUAGUCAUCAACUUGUAUACUAUCAAGACGAAUGGUUGCUUGCGUUAGAAUGUUUUUAAAAACGUAGUAACGUAUUUUAGCGAAAGAUGAAGAAGUGGAAAGAUAGUUAUUCAAACCGGAGUAAGAAUAAGUGGUUUAGUUACAUUAGAGAAAAUUUCUGUAAGAUCUUCCACGAUGUUGCUCGUAUUUAGGCCUGUUGGAAACUCGAUGACCUCAACACACCUACUAUAGUGGACUUAGGAUCUACAACUAAUACUACACCAACUUUCUGAAGUCGGUUAACUUUUUUAUUUUCUAACUUCUUAGUGCACUAUAAUACUCAAGUGGCAAAGCCGACCAUAUAUCAUUUAGGUCGGCUCUAUGGUCGACUCUGCUGACCAUAUAUCAUUCAGGUGGCAGAGCCGACCAUAUAUUAAAGUCAACCCAAGUGCAUUAACUACUUAAUUAGAAACCUAAGGCUUAACUGAAACUUACAAUUACAAGAGAAGAAAACAUUUUUAUUAAUACACAAUACAAUUACAAUAUGACACACACUUACCUCACUACUCUUCUCUUUUCUACCUCUACCUUUCACACUCUUUUGCUUAUGGCUCUCUCUUAUAUCAUAGCAAGAAUGAAAGCUCUCAC